GGGUUGUGAGGUUAAGCGACUAAGCGUACACGGUGGAUGCCCUGGCAGUCAGAGGCGAUGAAGGACGUGCUAAUCUGCGAUAAGCGCCGGUAAGGUGAUAUGAACCGUUAUAACCGGCGAUUUCCGAAUGGGGAAACCCAGUGUGACUCGUCACACUAUCAUUAACUGAAUCCAUAGGUUAAUGAGGCGAACCGGGGGAACUGAAACAUCUAAGUACCCCGAGGAAAAGAAAUCAACCGAGAUUCCCCCAGUAGCGGCGAGCGAACGGGGAGGAGCCCAGAGCCUGAAUCAGCAUGUGUGUUAGUGGAAG
rnacentral:rRNA from 1 species